AUAGCCUGGUUGUCCUGGAGUCCCUCCCCUGUGGACCGACAUCUGUGGCAGGCACAAAAGAAGGGUUUUUAAAGCACAGGACCUUCAAGAUGCUUGAGCGGGGGGCAGAGAUAUCUGAAAUCUUGUUAAGUCAUCAGUCAAUUAUGAAGGCCAUCAAUCUUUGGACCCUUUCAGACAAGCAAUUUAUACUGGGCCUAUUGUGCAAGGCUUCCACCCCUGCUACAAUAUGCUGAAGCAUUAAAAGAAAAGGGAAAGGGCUACAUAUCUCUUUCCAUACGUUUCAAAAGGGAAGGUCUAUGCUUGCAACACUGAUGUGCCUUUCACAGCUGAUGAAGAGC